rnacentral:rRNA from 1 species
GUGUCAGCAGCCGCGGUAAUACGUAGGGUCCAAGCGUUGUCCGGAUUUAUUGGGCGUAAAGAGCUCGUAGGCGGCUCGGUAAGUCGGAUGUGAAAACUCGGGGCUCAACCCCGAGACGCCAUCCGAUACUGCUGUGGCUUGAGUCUGGUAGGGGAGAACGGAAUUCCUGGUGUAGCGGUGAAAUGCGCAGAUAUCAGGAGGAACACCGGUGGCGAAGGCGGUUCUCUGGGCCAGUACUGACGCUGAGGAGCGAAAGCGUGGGUAGCAAACAGGAUUAGAUACCCCGGUAGUCC